GAUAGAUCUGCGUGUGCAGAAAAGAGGUGUUUCAUAAACCUCAAAUCAAAUAGAGAGGCAAUGUUCAAAGCCCACGAACACCGAUAUUUAUACUCAUACGAAGAAGCUGUGAUGGAAUUGGAAGUGGAUAAAAAUUCUGACGGAUUUUGCGUCGACAUCGUAUUUUCCUGCAUGAAAUCCAAACAAGCUACGUUUCAAUUGACAAUUAUGCAAGGAGAAAAAGUGGUGCAGAAUUUCACCCAGAAAGUAGAUCCUGAUAUUGAAAAUAAAUGGGUCACGAGGAGGUUCGAAAACCAGAGGCUGAUUUUAGAAAGCAAAUGGAAACUCCGGUUAACGGCCAAAGAUUUUAAUAUCGGUGCGAUCAAAUUCUGUGCUACUGCAGGUGAUAUGAUCGUCCAACCCAUAGGAAAAAACAUGGAAAGCUGUCAUUUGUUGGUGGAAAGUGAUUACUACAAAAAGCUGGCUUUGAGGAAAAGAGUUACAGGAAUUCUCAAUGAUUGGUUCUACCAAACGUUUAAGUCUACAUAUCAGGCUUGUGGGGAAAGCGGACGCUGCAUCUCACUCAACGCGGAAAUCACGGAAGAUUCACAAUUAAUUUCUCAAACGAGUGACAAACACUACUUCUUAGUUAUUUUGAGCUCCUGGAACGUGGUCAGCCUCUUGAUGACCUUGAUCCUCAUUUUUUGGCUAUAUCUGCAGUCGAAAAGAUUGCAAGAUUCGAUGAUGGUAAUUGAGAAAAAGUUGCAAGAGAGAGCUGCUCUCCCCGCCGAAUAUGAAACAAAGGAGAGGACUCCUGAACAGGGUGAACAGCUCGAAUCUGUGUCUUCCAACCCCAAUACAUAUUUUAGAAACAGAGCUUUCAAUAUCGAAUCGUCGAGGCAAUCUUUAACUGAUGAAGCUGAUCAAGAAGUGUAAUUUAUUAUUGCUGCUAGAAACUGCGACUCAAAUGUAUUAAAAAUAAAUAAAUUCUAUUUUGACGAGCGUGUUUAAAACAAAUAAUAAAUGCGCAUGCUAAUUUAUAAAUAAAUAAUUAUCUAUUUAUGUAAAAUGUAUUUGAGAAUUUAAUCUAUUUAUAGUCAAAAUAAUAAAUUUGUUAAAUGCAGGUUGCUUAAAAUA